CAGAGGGGGCAAGCGUUGUUCGGAAUUACUGGGCGUAAAGGGCGCGUAGCGGCCUUCUAAGUCGAACGUGAAAUCCCCGGGCUCAACCCGGGAACUGCGUCCGAGACUGGAAGGCUUGAAUCCGGGAGAGGGAUGUGGAAUUCCAGGUGUAGCGGUGAAAUGCGUAGAUAUCUGGAGGAACAUCGGUGGCGAAGGCGGCAUCCUGGACCGGUAUUGACGCUGAGGCGACGAAAGCCGAGGGGAGCGAAACGGGAUUAGACUACCCCGGUAGUCCUGGCCCUAAACGAUGAAUGCUUGGUGUGGCGGGUAUCGAUCCCUGCCGUGCCGAAGCUAACGCAUUAAGCAUUCCGCCUGGGGAGUACGGUCGCAAGGCUG
rnacentral:rRNA from 1 species